UCCUUCAGAUACUCUCUGCAUUCCUCUACUAUCAAAAUGACACUACAUGGUUUGAGGUUACCUAGGUGAUGACACCUCAUGGCCAGACAGCCAAAAAGGUAAUCUUCUGAGGCUGGUUGCUUAUGCUAUAAGCUUGUUAACUUCCAUGGCAGAGGAGAAGCAGCCCAAAUGUUCAAGCCUGGUUGUGAGUGCAAGUUGCAUAUUUGGAUGCCUGUACCCAAGAGUUCAUAGUUGCUUCUUUCUGACAAGAGUCUCUCCUGAUCCAUUUUUUCCAAAGAAGGAAUGUUUCUAAAUUGUUUUAGUUAUCAUCCUAAAAUAAAACACAGCUAAGCUGAACAUAACUUCCAAUAUUGGUCUCACCUUCUACUUGCUGAUUUUUUUCAUUUGGGGCAGAAAACAUUCAGAUGUGGUUACUGGCUUUGCUCCCAUUGUUCUCAGCAUGUGUUUCUCUCACCUUUAUUUCAAGAAGCAUGUACCUGAUCUUAAUUCUUCAUGUAUUUCUAGAGACUGCAUUGGCUUCUCUGACUGUGACAGAGCUCUCUGUGUACACAGGUGACAAUCCAGCAAACUGACAUUACAGCAGGUUUCAAAGGGAUUUUCUAAUCCCUACCAGCUGCAACAGACCUGGAAGUGACAACAUUCACUACGAGGAUUACCACAUCUUGUCCUGGAAAGGGGGAAUUAGAAGUGUGAAUCCACUUACACCUGCAAGAGAAAUGAGGGACCAACCUCACUGUCCUCAAGAGACGAGGAAUGAGGAAACCGAGGAAGAAGAGCUCAACACCUUUGCAUGGCUCACAGAGGUUUGGUCAUGGCAGAAGUUGUUGGAUUCAGGAGGCAACGCCACCCCCAUCUGCACCCACACCCCAAGCCCACACCUUCUCCUUUUGGUACUACUGCAAUACAAAUGCUUCCUUCCCUUAUGUGUUUGCUAAGAUCAGAGGCAGAAGCAUCAUAUUCUCAACCAUGCCAGAGGAUAUGGUCAUUCCACUGUCAAGGUAAUUUAUAAUAUGUACAAAAGCUUCUUCUUAGAGUGUUGGUAAGAUAUACGGGCAUAGUAAAGGCCUAAUAAAGACUAAGCCACACUAAUAAAAUGCAAAGGUUGUCAUUUAGAAUGGAAAA